UGUGAUGGGAUUUAAAAUCCCCAUGACUGUCUGGUAUGGUGGAAUAUCCUUUUAAUCCCAGCAGUCGAGAGGUUUAGUCAGGAAGAUCUUUGUGAAUUCAGGGCUAGCCUGAUCUAUUUGGUGAAUUCCAGGACAGCCAGGGAUAUAUAGUGAAACAGUCUAAAAAAAAAAAAAAAAAAAAAAAAAACCAGAAAAACAAAAACCCAAAACCCAAAACCCAACACAAUCCCAAUCCAACUCAAACUCAACUCAAACUAAACCAAACCAAACCAAACCAAAUCACCAUCAUCACCACUACCACCACCACUACCAACAACAACAGCAACCACCAUGGAAAUAAACCUCUGGACAUAUCUGUGAGAGAGCUUCUAGUUUGUUAAUAGAAAUGUAAAGACCCACUUUAAUUGUGGGCAGCUCUGUAGGAGGCAUGGAGGUCCUUGUACUCACAGAUAAUCACUAGGGAAUCAGGAAUUUGAAACACACAGGGUUGCCUCUUCAAAGGGAGAGAUGUACAACCACUUGUUUUCCACCUAGAAGGCUGGGAACUGAUGUAGUUAAUAGUGACCUUUGAGCUAUGUAACCAAGGCCAUACUAGUUCUUCCUCCAGACUCUUUACUGAGCUUGUCUCUACUUAUAUCCUAUUCUUCCCUAGACCCUUAUCUUGAAUCUGUUUGUUCAUUUAAUCUACAGAACAUUCACGGAAGAUGUGACCCAAACAGAGUUUCAGUGUAGUCAUACCUUAAGGUUUAUUGUGCACACAAAAUUGAGUUAAUUAUCACCAGGAAACUUUUUUCCCCCAAAAUGUGCUGUGCUUAAAUAUGCCUAAAAUAUAUAAACUACUCAAAGUCAGACUCUUGGCUACUGAGUUGAGUCGAACUGAUUCAACUUCUUAUUUCUCUUAGAUACCUUUGCUGUCCUCGGAGACUGCAGAGAUCUCCCACAGCAUCUUUUCGUGGAUGGUAGGUCCUCGAUGAAAUAAACAGGAGAAAAUGAGCUAAGCUCUAGCAUGUGACUCUCUUGCCUUGGACUCCUGUAAUAGGUGUGAAUCAAAGGCAGAGGGGCAUUGGCUGAGAUUUCCGGUUUCUUGUGUCCUGAAACAAAGAACUGGGUCGGAGAAUUUGGAUAGUGAUACAAAUAGAAACAGUUUAUUGAAGGAGAGAAAGCACCCCCCCCCCCAAGAAUGGAAGUGGACUAGUGAGCCUGGACAGGUCCAUACUGCAAAAUCACAAGGUAUGUGAGUUUGUAUGUCUUACAGGUCACUUACAUUACACUUGUCUUCUGCCACAGAUCUCAUGUGCCUUUCUUGCGUGCUGUUACACGUAUUGUUGCUGUGAUUUCUCUGACAACAAUUUUUCAUUUUAACUCUGAUAUUUCUCCAUUCUUGUGAGUCUGCCAGCCCCUGUUAUCAUGACAUCCCUACUACUCAACAAUCAAACUGAGUCAGAAUAAAUGACUUCUUACAUUCCUUCCCUCAUGUACUUUGUCAAAGCAAGAAGACAAGUAAUUAAUUAACAGAAGAGAGAACUUGAUUUGUGUGUGUGCGCGCACGCACGCGUGUGUUUGUGUGUGUGUGUUUAGGAAGAAUAUGUACCAGUUUUUGAACAAAGGACACAUUUGCUUUCAGGUUUUAUAUGGAUUCAUUUCCUAGUGAACAUCAAUGGUAAUGCCAUUUUUAGUCGUGACUAAUGAAUCUAGUCUUGAGCAGAGAGUAACUGUAGUCAGAGAGUUUGAGAUCUAUGAAACAGAACAUGAGUAGAUGACACUCUAUUUGGAAAUACACUGAGUCACUGGCUCACUCUCUGCAGAGAAUUUCAACACAAUUUACAAAACAAAACAAAAAUGCAUUUUCCCAGUUCUUGCCAUUUACUGGCAUCAGUCAUAGAGAACUGGGACUAGCAUUUUGAGACAUUUAUCAUUUAUGAACCUAGGAGAACUGUGGCCAAUUAAAAAGGCCUUUAGGCUGCAGUCAGCCUAAUCCCCUUUGUGUAAACUUGACAGUUGUAAUGUAGCUGGUAUAAAAUCAAUUCCUCACUCUGCUUUCUAAAGAGUAUUCACCACAUAAUUUAGAUAAUUUUGAUCAU
rnacentral:lncRNA from 1 species